UACGGGGGGUGCGAGCGUUGUCCGGAAUCACUGGGCGUAAAGGGCGCGUAGGUGGUUUGAUAAGGGUGUGGUGAAAGUCCGGGGCUCAACCCCGGAUCUGCCGUGCCGACUGUCAAACUCGAGGGCUGUAGAGGCAGACGGAAUUCCGGGUGUAGCGGUGGAAUGCGCAGAUAUCAGGAGGAACACCGGUGGCGAAGGCGGGUCUCUGGGCAGUAACUGACGCUGAGGAGCGAAAGCCAGGGGAGCAAACGGG
rnacentral:rRNA from 1 species